ACGCUCCGGCGCAGGACUCCGAGGCCAAGGACGCGCUGGCCCUGGCAAGGGGAGGGAGGGCGCCCAGGGAGCUGCUCCUAACUUCCCUCGCUCCCCUGUACCAUCCUCCCUUUCUGGUCUCUCCCCAGCCGGUCUGCCUGCCGUAUGCCGCGAAGCGUGGGCGCUGGGCAGAAGGUCGGAGCUCGCAACGCAGGUCUGCGCUUUCUGUCGGUCGGUGCGCCGGCUCCGGACCGCUCGUGCUUCUGAGCUCCGGAGGCCGAAGGAUCGGGGCGACGCUGCCACUAGGACGCACCACCGGGGAGGCAGCUCCUUAGCCAGCAAACACCCCCGCGUCCUAGCCAUCGCGGUUUAAGAAAGCGACGGUCAAAGAGACCGAAGCCACUGGGCUCCGCUUACCCGCCGACUUCUGGGGAUCCCUCCCCCGGGAAGUUAAGUCGGCCGAGUUUGCAGUGAAGACGCGCCACGCCCCCUCCCCAAUCUGAGCCAGGCUGGAAACCCAGCGCGCGCACCCGCGUGCGGAGCAAAAGCGACUCUGCGCCCGGACGCUCGCAUCUUCGGCGCUAGGGAGAACUCCGGAGCGGGAGGCGGCGACAAAGCGGAUACGAAACCAAGAGUCUAGGAGGACGUGGAGAUCUGGUGCCUCAAGAGAAGAGGAGGCGGCAGCCCAGGGAUCCUAGCGGCCUGGGGAGAGGGCGGCGGGCAUGGGAGAGCCGGCGGUGGGGCAUCCGGGAGCCGGCUGAGCACCCUCCGUGGGUGUGGGCGUGAGUCCCCCAGCACCCACCACCAUCCCCGCGGGGAUCUGGCCCCGGGGCCAGGUCAUGGCUGGNCGGGGUUGCAGUUGCACCCCGGGCCACCUGAACGAGGACAACGCGCGCUUCCUGCUCCUCGCCGCGCUCAUCCUGCUCUACCUCCUGGGCGGCGCCGCAGUCUUCUCGGCGCUGGAGCUGGCGCACGAGCGCCAGGCCAAGCAGCGCUGGGAGGAGCGCCUGGCCAACUUCAGUCGCAGCCACAACCUCAGCCGCGAGGAGCUGCGCGGCUUCCUCCGCCACUAUGAGGAAGCUACCAGGGCCGGCAUCCGCAUGGACAACGUCCGCCCGCGCUGGGACUUCACUGGCGCGUUCUACUUCGUGGGCACCGUGGUGUCCACCAUAGAGAAACUCAGACAGAAUUCCAGAUGGAAAGGAGGCAAAAGUGUGAAUGAGGCUGUGAAGGGUGGAAAAAUGUUUCCUACUGGAAAGAACCAGGGAACAAGCGACCUUUGGGCUGAACAAGGUAAGCGUUUCGUGUGAUUUGGGUUUGGGGCCCAAAGCUGAUGUGCGCUCUGGGUUAAGGGAGAAUUGCACGCAGGGCCAUGGGCUAACUGAUCUUCUUGGAGCAGUGAAAGGAGGUAAAGCUGGGAAGGUCUGCUGUCUACAUGAUCGGGACCUUUACUGCCAUACUAAGGGGCUAGAACAUAUCAGGAGGCAAUGGAAGCCAUUGAGAAUUUUGAGCAAGGAUCCAUCCUGGUUACUUUCAGUUAUGACUUUAUUCUCCAGGAGGGAAAUGAUGGGGUGUGUGUGUGUGUUUGCACUACAUCCCUGAAGACUGUUCACCCUUGAAGCAUAAUCUAGUGAUUAGGGGUUGGGGACAUGCGGUAGUAAUGCUAAGGAGGAUGAAGUCCAGGGUGGUGAUGGGAUGGAAGUUUAUACAGAGAGAAAGGAAGUGGCUUGCAGAGCAUGAGGAGCAGAGAAAAGGCUUGCUGCUGCAGCAGCAGCACAGGGCAUGUGCUAGGAGCUCUGUAGCUGAGGCCCCUGUGCUCUUGAGUAGGGCUUGGCAGUGAGGUGGGUGACAAGGAGAACCUCUGUGAGGUUCCCACGCAUCUGUGUUCUGUACAUGAUCUGCCGAUGUGCUGAGGAGGGUGCAGCAGGUAGGAAGGGCCAUCCCCAGUCAGGGAAGACUUCCCAAAGUUAACCUAGGUACUCCUGGCUUCAGACAGAGAGGACUGGCGUGACUGGGGACAGGUGGGCUUUAUCUGAAGUGCUCUGUACUCGGUGACCCCCCUCACACCCCCCAGCCCAACCUGGUGUCCGUGCCCAACAGUGGGCCAUGAUGGUAGCGCAUGGUACCUGUGUAUCUGGCAAGACAAUCUCGGAGUAGUCUCAGCAAUGAUGAGAAGCCCGGAUCCUGCAGGGAAUAAAAGAGGAGGAGGAGGAGGAGGAGGAGGAGGAAGACAGAAGAGAAAAAGGAACC
rnacentral:lncRNA from 1 species